rnacentral:rRNA from 1 species
GAUGAACGCUGGCGGCGUGCCUAAUACAUGCAAGUCGAGCGAACGGACGCGAAGCUUGCUUUUCUGAUGUUAGCGGCGGACGGGUGAGUAACACGUGGAUAACCUACCUAUAAGACUGGGAUAACUUCGGGAAACCGGAGCUAAUACCGGAUAAUAUUUUGAACCGCAUGGUUCAAAAGUGAAAGACGGUCUUGCUGUCACUUAUAGAUGGAUCCGCGCUGCAUUAGCUAGUUGGUAAGGUAACGGCUUACCAAGGCAACGAUGCAUAGCCGACGUGAGAGGGUGAUCGGCCACACUGGAACUGAGACACGGUCAAGACUCCUACGGGAGGCAGCAGUAGGGAAUCUGCCGCAAUGGGCGAAAGCCUGACGGAGCAACGCCGCGUGAGUGAUGAAGGUCUUCGGAUCGUAAAACUCUGUUAUUAGGGAAGAACAUAUGUGUAAGUAACUGUGCACAUCUUGACGGUACCUAAUCAGAAAGCCACGGCUAACUACGUG